rnacentral:rRNA from 1 species
AACGAACGCUGGCGGCAUGCCUAACACAUGCAAGUCGAACGAGACCUUCGGGUCUAGUGGCGCACGGGUGCGUAACGCGUGGGAACAUGCCCUUAGGUUCGGAAUAACUCCCCGAAAGGAGUGCUAAUACCGGAUAAUGUCUUCGGACCAAAGAUUUAUAGCCUUUGGAUGGGCUCGCGUUGGAUUAGCUAGUUGGUAGGGUAAAAGCCUACCAAGGCGCCGAUCCAUAGCUGGUCUGAGAGGAUGAUCAGCCACACUGGGACUGAGACACGGCCCAGACUCCGACGGGAGGCAGCAGUGGGGAAUAUUGGACAAUGGGCGAAAGCCUGAUCCAGCAAUGCCGCGUGAGUGAUGAAGGCCUUAGGGUUGUAAAGCUCUUUUACCCGGGAUGAUAAUGACAGUACCGGGAGAAGAAGCUCCGGCUAACUCCGUG